AUUUUUCCCCUACAGAAAACCUUUGUUCCAAAUGUUCACUCUGUUCGCAAAACUAAAGACGAGUUACAGAAGGAGACUCGCAUUGCACCAAA